UCACUCCUAAGUGAUGAUCUUCACGAGAUAAUUAAAUCCAAAUAAACAAACCUCUGUUGAAAACCUUCUAACCUGCCCAGCAAGACAGGCUGGCAGAGUCAUUGGAUGGUUAGAGAGCUGGAGGCAAAUGAAACCAGGGGAUUCUUUGGGCUCCUUGAAAUUUGCACCCCUUGAGCUCCCAGAAUGAGUCUUCCAUCUUUAGCAAGCCUUCCCAGAAACAUGAACAUGCCUUGAAACAUCCACUGAUUGCACCGAUCAAGGGAGGCCCCCCUUUCAAGCAUCCUGCCGUAUCCUGCCAAUGAGACCCUCCAGGAAGUUCUGUGUCACUCGCACUUUGCAGCAGAACAGCUUCUGAUGAGGCUUGAAGAACCUCUAGGUGAAACAGCCAGUGAAAGCCAGGACACAAAACCAGUUCCUCUGAUCCCCAAACCUGCAAUUUUUCCCAUUAUGCUGACUCUCCGAGGAGAAAACAGAGCCUGCAGCCUGCGUGGGAGUCUUGGCGAGGCCUGGGCACAGCUGGUCCGAGAGGGUCCUCAAAAGUCAGGUUACUGCCUCAUCUAGACGGUUCUGACCUCAGUGCACAGCAGACCAGUGACAGCUUGGGAACUGGCGCUGGUCCUGUUGGUGGAACCCACGUUGAGUGGCACGGCUGUGGAAGGAGCUGAGGCUGGCCCUACUGCACCUGUGGCCCC